rnacentral:ribozyme from 12 species
UUUUUUUUUUUUUUUUUUUUUUUUUUUUUUCACCAAAUCUGAAGCGUCAUUUUAUUAAAUUAUGA